rnacentral:misc_RNA from 1 species
GAUGAAGAACGUAGCGAAAUGCGAUAAGUAAUGCGAAUUGCAGAAUCCGUGAGUCAUCGAAUCUUUGAACGCACAUUGCGCCUCCUGGUAUUCCGGGAGGCAUGCCUGUUCGAGCGUCAUUAAAAUCACUCAAGCUUAGGUUUACCUAUUGCUUGGUCUUGGAGAUGGAAGCCAAUUUAUUGGAAUCCUCUUCGAAAUUCAAUGGCGAAGACCCUUGCUCUCCCAAGUGUAGUAAUAACUUAUGUCACUGAAGGAAGCGAGAAAUCUUCUGCCGUAACCCCCAUAUUUUCUAUGAUUGACCUCGGAUCAGGUAGGGAUACCCGCUGAACUUAAGCAUAUCAAUAAGCGGAGGA